rnacentral:rRNA from 1 species
CAGGUCUUGACAUCCCUCUGACCGCUCUAGAGAUAGAGUUUUCCUUCGGGACAGAGGUGACAGGUGGUGCAUGGUUGUCGUCAGCUCGUGUCGUGAGAUGUUGGGUUAAGUCCCGCAACGAGCGCAACCCUUAUUGUUAGUUGCCAUCAUUCAGUUGGGCACUCUAACGAGACUGCCGGUAAUAAACCGGAGGAAGGUGGGGAUGACGUCAAAUCAGCAUGCCCCUUAUGACCUGGGCUACACACGUGCUACAAUGGCUGGUACAACGAGUCGCAAGCCGGUGACGGCAAGCUAAUCUCUUAAAGCCAGUCUCAGUUCGGAUUGUAGGCUGCAACUCGCCUACAUGAAGUCGGAAUCGCUAGUAAUCGCGGAUCAGCACGCCGCGGUGAAUACGUUCCC